GAUGAACGCUGGCGGCGUGCCUAAUACAUGCUAGUCGAGCGAACUUUUGGGAGCUUGUUCCCUAAAGUUAGCGGCGGUCGGGUGAGUAACACGUGGGUAACCUGCCUGUAAGACUGGGAUAACUUCGGGAAACCGGAGCUAAUACCGGAUAACAUUGAAGACCACAUGGCCUUCACUUAAAAGGUGGCUCUUAGCUACCACUUACAGAUGGACCCGCGGUGCAUUAGCUAGUUGGUGAGGUAACGGCUCACCCAGGCGACGAUGCGUAGCCGAUAUGAGAGGGAGAUCGGCGACACUGGGACUGAGACACGGCCCAGACGCCUACGGGAGGGAGCAGCAGGGGAGCUGCCGCAAUGGACAAAAGACUGACGGGACAAGGACGCGAGAGCGAAGAAGGCCUUCGGGUCGGAAAGCGCUGUUGUUAGGGAAGAACAAGAAACAUACGAAUAGGGCGGUACCGUGGCGGUACCUAACCAGAAAAACACGGCUAACUACGUG
rnacentral:rRNA from 1 species